GAUGAACGCUAGCGGCAGGCCUAAUACAUGCAAGUCGAACGGGCGGUAGCAAUCCCGCUAGUGGCGCACGGGUGCGUAACGCGUAACCAACCUGCCCAGAUCUGGGGGAUAGCCCGCCGAAAGGCGGAUUAAUACCGCAUAAACCCACAGUGUGGCAUCACAUUAUGGGUAAAGAUUUAUCGGAUCUGGAUGGGGUUGCGUAGCAUUAGCUAGUUGGCGGGGUAAUGGCCCACCAAGGCGACGAUGCUUAGGGGACCUGAGAGGGUGUUCCCCCACACUGGCACUGAGAUACGGGCGAGACUCCUACGGGAGGCAGCAGUAGGGAAUAUGGGGCAAUGGGCGAGGGCCUGACCCAGCCAUGCCGCGUGCCGGAUGAAGGCCUUCUGGGUUGGAAACGGCUUUUCUCAGGGAAGAAAACGGGGAUGCGUCCUCAACUGACGGUACCUGAGGAAUAAGCACCGGCUAACUCGGUG
rnacentral:rRNA from 1 species